rnacentral:lncRNA from 1 species
AAGAAAAAGAAAGAAAAAAAUUAAAAAAAAAAAAAGAAAUCUUCAGUUUGUCCUUUCCAACCCAUCAGCCUUUGCUUCAUGUAUUUUAACAAGUCUAUUCUCAUGCACGUACCUGUUUAGGACGGCUGUGAUCUCUUCGCGAUUGGCUCUUUUAUCUUUUCACAAUGGAAAGGGAACAAGGAGAAAACUCUGAGGGGGUGGGGCAUCUCAUUGGUGCCAGAUGGGAGUGGAAAGCCCUUUGCUAUGUUGCCUGUGUUUGAAGAAAGGUAAUAUUUGCUUUUCUUUUUUUAAAGUUUACUUAGAUACAUAUGUUUUUAAGUAUGGCUGAACACAUUUUUAAGUAAGGCUUUGAGGAAACAAACUCCCAGGACAUAGUAUUUGGAAACCUGGUUUAAACUACACUCUGGUAACUACUGACAAGAUAGCAAACUCACCCUUUGACCCCACACUUGUAGGACACCAAAGACGUACACACGUGUGAGUGGUGACGUUAAAAGCCAAAGGCUAAAAAAAAGAUCUGCAUGCCCUUCAGUAGAAGGCUUGUUACAUAAUUAUAUGAUCCCCAGCGAGGAAUAGCAAAAUGGCUCUGUUUUUUAAGUUUAUUGUGUGUGCAUGUAACACAUCAGUGAAUCUCUCCUCCCACAGUGUGGGUCCUAGGGACCUAGGGAUUGAACUCAGAGCAUUAGGCUUGGUAGCAAGCACCGUUACCCACUGAGUCAUCUUACAGAGACAGCCAAUUUAUUAACAUCAAGCACAUUUCAGGGUGUGAUACAUGAGGAAAUAGAAAACAAAGUGUAGAAUAAUAAGUCCUAUGAUGCUGUUUGUUUAAAAGAAAAGGGAACAGCAGGGCCUGGUGUCACACACCUGUAAUCCCAGCACUUGGCAGGUGAAGGCAGGAGGAUCGGGAGUUCAAGGUCACCCUCAGGUAUAUAACAAACUUGAGGCCAGCCUGGGCUACAUGAUAGUCUCUUGAUUGUGAGGAGGGGUGGAGAAGAAACAGGCAGACAGACAGGGCUUUUCCUAUAUAUACAUAUGUACCAGGCUGGCUACAAGAGACUACUAAUGGGCUGGAGAGAUGGCUCAGCGGUUAAGAGCACUGACUGCUCUUACGAAGGUCCUGAGUUCAAUUCCCAGCAACUACAUGGUAGGUCACAACCAUCUGCAAUGAUAUCUUUUUAAAAAAAUGAGAGAAAGGUUGCUAGCAAUGCCAGGGAGGAGGUGGGACAUAGACUCCAAUGAAAAACACAGUGACAAAUGGCCAAGCUCCAGUGAUGCCUGUCAAGCCACUGGGCACCCUGGCCCCUCCACUUGCCCUUUGUACCUCCAUUCCUGUGUGCUUUUGCACAUUGAGGUCCCUGUGCCAGGGGUGGGGCUAGCAGGAUCCUGGCUAUUGGCUGAGGGGUGUUCUAGGCUGUCCAUUCCGAAGCAUCCUCACUUGCCUUCCCAUGGCCUGGCCUCUCACUGUGGAUUCAUUGGUGACAAAACAGAGGAAUGGGGUCCAAGUGUUGAGUACGCCUACUUCAGGAGAUGGGACUGGACUCUGCCGAUCUGAGAUGACCCCUCCCAACACUGUUCUAUCCCUGUCCAGGUACCUUCAUCCCAUCCUCCUCUUCAGGCCCCCUCCUAUGUGUAAAUGUUCUUUGAGUCUGCUUUGAGGCCUCUACUGGCAAUGUAGACAUCUUCAGUCCUUGAAAUAGGACUCUCCAUCCUACCUCAGCCUUCCUCUUUCCAGAUUGCUGUAGGUGAGUGGCAAGGGUUCCAGGAGCUGCCUUUACAGAGCCAGCCACACAUCACUGCCCUUCCAUAUCCCUACACACUCAGCCACUGGGAAACAAGUUUCCUCAUCACCCAAGUGUCCUCUCUGAGCUUCAGCCUGUCUGUCUAUAAAAUGGGUGUAGAUGUAAUGGCAUGUACAGGGUAAAUAAACUUUCACU